UUAUGCGGGCAUGCUUACACAUGCAGUCGAACGGCAGCACGGGUGCUUGCACCUGGUGGCGAGUGGCGAACGGGUGAGUAAUACAUCGGAACAUGUCCUGUAGUGGGGGAUAGCCCGGCGAAAGCCGGAUUAAUACCGCAUACGAUCUCUGGAUGAAAGCGGGGGACCUUCGGGCCUCGCGCUAUAGGGUUGGCCGAUGGCUGAUUAGCUAGUUGGUGGGGUAAAGGCCUACCAAGGCGACGAUCAGUAGCUGGUCUGAGAGGACGACCAGCCACACUGGGACUGAGACACGGCCCAGACUCCUACGGGAGGCAGCAGUGGGGAAUUUUGGACAAUGGGCGAAAGCCUGAUCCAGCAAUGCCGCGUGUGUGAAGAAGGCCUUCGGGUUGUAAAGCACUUUUGUCCGGAAAGAAAUCCUUGGCCCUAAUACGGUCGGGGGAUGACGGUACCGGAAGAAUAAGCACCGGCUAACUACGUGCCAGCAGCGGCCGGUAAU
rnacentral:rRNA from 1 species